UACGAAGGGUGCAAGCGUUACUCGGAAUUACUGGGCGUAAAGCGUGCGUAGGCGGUUUGUUAAGUCUGUCGUGAAAGCCCUGGGCUCAACCUGGGAAUUGCGAUGGAUACUGGCAAGCUAGAGUACGGUAGAGGAUGGUGGAAUUCCAGGUGGAGUGGUGAAAUGCGUAGAGAUCUGGAAGAACACCAAAGGCGAAGGCAGCAUCCUGGGAAGUUCCUGACGCUCGGGUGCGAAAGCCAGGGGAGCGAACGGG
rnacentral:rRNA from 1 species